UAACUCCCGAACCCCUGGUCUGAUCUGGGUGAAUUUUGGAUAUGUUAGUCACCCAGAUCAGGGUUACCAGGGGGUACCCCAAGUAUAAUUCUAGCUGCUUGCUUUGGGGUACAUCCAGAAUUCGGGGAAAACUACAGUAAGAUUAAUGGGAUUAUGUGUCACACUGAGGGGAGGAGAUGUGUGGGAGGUAACUGUUACACUAUUGGAUACUGUACUGAUUAAUGUGAAUCCCUCCCUUGCAUGGGAGAAUGCUUUAUAAGGAGGUUGUGUGGAUUAAAAGUCAGUUCUGCUCCUGAUGCUGUGUGUCGUCCAGUCAGUGGGAUCUGUAUGGGAAUAUUUGUGGAUUACCUUGCUUGCUGGGAUUAUUGCUCUAUGGUGUUUUUAUUACUUGUUCCUGAGCCUCACUGGGAUCUUUAGUGGAGUUAACCUGUGGAAUACCAGGCAUCCGCUACAAACACACUACAUGCC